GGUCACCCCACGCCGCCGCCGUCCCUACCCACCUGAAAAAAGACUAUUUCUUCCAGAUCUCUCCCCCAUUUUCUACGCUCUCAAACUUUCUUCACUUCAUUUGAAACCAUGUCUCACGCCCUUCUCUUCUUCCAAUGCUCUCCACCUUCAUUUUCCAUCUUCUAGGAGAUCAUUGUGCUGCUGCCUCUAUUGACAGCUUUGACGAUUAGUAGACAACCUCCUUAAUCUUUCUGAUACCUCAACGAAGACAUUCUUUGAGCCAUUUCGACAUUUUAGAGAUCUAAGAGGGGUAAUGCACUUGACAAUCUUGAUGGUGUAGUGAUGGCAGGUGAAAAAAAGGGUAAGAAAACAAAGAAGGCUAAGGAGAUGGGGGUUUCCCAGAGCCACCACAAAACCUUGUGAUUAGAGAUAGAAGCCCGUC